GUAUGCAUGCAGUGAGUGCAUUGCAUAGCAUAAGGCCACAAUGGAGAAAGUACUGCAGUGAUUACUAUUCAGUGGAGAACUAUAAGGCCACAUAUGCACCAACUUUUGCACCACUAGAUGAUAAAAGUGAAUGGGUCCAGCCAAACAUGAACAAGAAGAUCUUGAACCCUCCUCACAGUAGGAAACCAGGAAGACCCAAGAGCAAGAGGGUAAGAAGUUAUGAUGAACCUCGUGUUGAGAAGACAAAAAGGAGGUGUGGGAAAUGUGGAAAUGUUACUAACCACAACAAAAGAACAUGUGCUGGUGGUGAAGUGGGAUCUAAUCCAACUGCAAAGAGGCAAAGGACUGAAUGUGAUGCACAAAGCUUCACCUUCAGCAACAU